UCGCCGCCUGGAACGCGAAUAAAAUAAUGCCACACCAAGGUGUUUUUGCGUAGAAACUUUGCACGUUGUCAUCCAACUAACCAAUUGUCAGAUUGAAGUUUAAAAAAAUAAAACAGUGUCACCAUAAAUAUGUGUAAAAUUAGUGAAUGAUACAGUAUACUUAUUUCGAAUGGCACCAUGCUGAUUACCAAAAACGUAUUUCGCUGAUUAUUACAAAGUAUGGGUUAGUAAUUGACAUUGACAUUUUCACAUUGCGUAGACUUUUAAUUUCAUUUUUAUAGAUACCAAUACGUUUAAAAUUAUCAGCAGCGAUCAUUCAUCAACCUAUUGUAUCUUUUAAUAGGUACUAUUUACACAUCUUCUGGAUCCCCCCUGCGUUGUGGAUAAAUCGAACUUGCUGACUUUUCGUCAAUCACCCCCUUGGCUUCUUCAAAGCUUAACUGAAACUGGCUCGCAUUCUACUGAGGCCGGCGAAGCUAAAAGAUGGGCAUGAACAUUAUCUCCGAUGACCGAUUCCCAUAUUGGUGAAAAGGAACCGAAUCGCAGUUAAGAUUGUUUGGUUGUUUAGAAAUAUCUAUUAAUUCUGAGAUUAUUCUUUGGUAGAAGAACUGAUUACGUGCAAAAAGAGCAGCGUUUUCUGUUUUGCUUGAUGGAUCAAAAUCGAUGUCUCAGCGACCGGCUGCGUUUCCGCUUUGUUUAAACGAAGUCAGAUGUGUUACGAAAUCUUGCACAAUAGCAUCGAUAGUGUUAACUAUGCAUGCCAGAAGGGAAAAAGAAAAUUACCUCAUAAAUCCUGCAACACUCUUCCAAUUCGCGAAAGGCAACCUUCAAAUAUUUAUACUCACUCUGAUCGAUCAGAACGACCUCAACCGAAGAUCCGAGUUUUACAAACUGAACGUGGACACAUUCGCAAACAUUCCGAUCCCUACAUCGCUGGGGCGAAACGAAUUGGCUGCAAAUGACGUCAAAGGGAACAUCCGAAAAUUGUUUUAAGGUUAUUGUUGGUCGAUCCAAGUUGCGCCAUCCGCUCAACAUUAUCAACAUUAAGUCAUCGCCAUAAGUCACAAACGAUGUAUCGUCCGAAUAAAGUGUACAUUUAUCGGGGAACAGAAAAUGAUACAAGUCAUUGAUGUAAAUAGGGAAUAGUAGCGGGCCCAAGACAAAGCCCUGAGGCACGUCACUGCUCACAACCCUCAACUCCGAUAUGUUAUUGUUAAAGACGACACACUGUCUUCUGUCAGUUAAAUAUGAGCGGAUAAGAUCCUGAUGGUGACCACGGCACGAUAUCUGCCGAGCUUCUCCAGAAGCAGGCCCUCCGCCACGUCUCCCACAACCCUGCGAACCGCCUGCACAGUGGAGCAGCCGGUCUUAAAACCAAAUUGGGAAUCCCAAAUGCAUUUUGUUUUUUGGAAAAAUCGUG